rnacentral:rRNA from 1 species
GAUGAACGCUGGCGGCGUGCCUAAUACAUGCAAGUCGAACGAACAGACUAGGACCGUUCUCUUCUGACGUUAGCGUUUUAUGGCUGAGUGACACGUGGAUAAGUAACCUAUGAGUCUGGUACAACUUCCAGAAACCUGGCCGAAUACCGCAGAAGAUAAUACACCAUAAGGGCACAGUAUCAAAUGCGGCUUUGUGGAAACCUCUGGAGGUAUCCGCGCCGCAUUAGUUAGUUGGUAUGGUUGCGGGUUACCAGGGCAACGAUGCGUACCCGACCUAACAGGGUGAUCGGCCACCCUGGCACUGAGACACGGUCGAGACUCCUACGGGAGGCCGCAGUAGGGACUCUUCCGCGAUGGGCGAGAGCCUGACGGAGCAACGCCGCGUGAGUGAUGAAGCUCUUCGGCUCGUAAAGCGCUGUUAUUAGUGAAGAACAAAUGUGUAAGUAACUAUGCACGUAUUGACGGUACCUGAUCAGAAAGCCACGGCUAACUACGUG